rnacentral:tRNA from 1 species
ACACCUGUAGUUCAAAGGAUAGAACAAAAGCUUCCGAAGCUUUAGAUACAGGUUCAAUUCCUGUCAGGUGUACCA